UAAAGCCAGAUGAGCGCCGCAACCCCAGAGUCGGUCACGACUGAACCUAAUGGUCAGGGGUCCCUUUACCUUUACCUUUACAAAAGCAAAAAAAGUGUGCACCUACAGUACAUCAAGAUUUGCUUGGGACCCCGCUGCAGCACUUCUGAAACAAGAAAACCUCAGUCCAGUGUGCUUCCAAUUCUGCUCAGCAGCCAAAUCUUAUUUCAGUAGGGAAAGUACAAUUCAAUAUAAGGGGGGGAAAUUGAAAACAUCCGUAACUUUCACAGGUCUAGAUGAAAUUUGCAGGCAUAUUAGCCUUUCUGUAGUAGAUAACAUACAUCAAAUUUCUCUCAAUGGCCAACCAGAUGCCCGUGGGAAACCUGCAAGCAGGACCUGGGUACAAAAGCGUUUUCCCUAUUUGUGAUUUCCAGUAUUCAGAGGCAUACUGCUGCUCUCCAUGGAAGGAGAGCAUAGCAAUGGAGGCUAGUAGCCAUUGGUAGCCUUAUAUACUCCAUGAAUUUGUCCAAUCCUCUUUUGAAGCCAUCCAAGCUGGGGGCCAUCACUGCCUGCUGUGGGAGCAAGUUCCAUCCUGGCCACUGUGAGAACAGGAUGCUGGACUAAAUGGGACACUGGCCUGUUCAGCAGACUCUUCUUAUGUUCUUUCAAACCCAAGGUUUCAUUUCUAAUCGGUAACCACCAAUUUAGACCCUAAUAGCAUAUAUGUAAUAUUAGCUUUGUGAUUGUACAGUGGUACCUCGGGUUAAGUACUUAAUUCGUUCUGGAGGUCCAUUCUUAACCUGAAACCGUUCUUAACCUGAAGCACCACUUUAACUAAUGGGGCCUCCUGCUGCUGCCGCGCCGCCGGAGCCUGAUUUCUGUUCUUAUCCUGAAGCAAAGUUCUUAACCUGAAGCACUAUUUCUGGGUUAGCGGAGUCUGUAACCUGAAGCGUAUGUAACCUGAAGCGUAUGUAACCUGAGGUACCACUGUAUAUAUUUUUAAGUAUGGCUCCAUUGAGAGUGGGAGGGAGAUGAUUUAGUACUGAUCCUUAAAAGGAACUGAGGUGAUACUAGUGUUUCUUCAUCUGUUUGUUGGGGAGUUCACACUGCUUCCAAGUUGCAAUGAAGCAAGCUUCCUUGGCUGUUUGACCUCUUUGACAACAGAUGGAAACAGAAUAUAGAGCUGGAUUUUUUUAAAGCAUUUAUUUGUCCUUGUAUACUUUAAUAUAGCUACAACAGCAUUUACAGUGUUAAAAGUGUGGGAGGAAAAUAAUGAGAUCUGUAACCCACGUGCAGGUAAUUAACAAAAGAAUAUAAAGUAUCAUCCACUGCUCCCCCUCCCCCGGAAACCUGCUGUUUACCACUUAAUUGGAACAACAUUAAACAGUUUUUCUGCAGAUUGACAUUUGUUCUGAUUCAGCGGUAAACAGUAGGUUUUCCCAGGGGAAAUGGUGGGACAAACAAAAAACUUGGACUUGUGCCUAGAAAGCAUGGGACAAGCGCAAGUGUGGACAAGCCCUAACAGCAAAAGAGGGGUAGCACAAAGAAUCAACAAAAAACAGAAGGCUGAUAUCAAAACCAGAACUCCAAAUAGUACUCAUCUAUUGUCUGUAUACUGCCCAACACACUUCAAUAACAACCUUCAUUAAGGACAAAUUCCAUAUUGUGCAGUGCAAUCCCAUGCAUUUUUACUGUGUGGAGUGACCAAGUAUGUUAGGCAUUGCAGCUUUUUCUGGUAUCUCAGCGGAACAGACUACAGAUUAAGACGUGUGAAACACCUGUAGUAAGUCAGCUACAGUCCUCGACAUUAUAAUGUGCUGCAAGCAUAAGGAAUGUUACUGAACCACAUGGGGCAAUUUGAGUGUUACAAUAGUGAGUGCAUUUGACUAUCAAAUAAAGCUCACUCCAGUCUUAUGGCUACUUAUUGUGUUCAUGGGAAAGGUGAAAUUUGAACCUGGUACUUUUCUUAUUCUUGUCUCUUAGCUACUAUGUACAAUCACUCCUAUGAAAUCCUGCAGCCCCAGCCGGCAUGGUCAGGAAUGGCAGGAGUUGUAGUGCAGCAACUUAUGGAGGACCCCUGGUUCCCCAGCCAUGGUCUGUAUUCAAAAAAUUAAAUAUCAAACCAACUGGGGGUGUUUCUAUAGCUAGCAUUGUUUAAUAUUUCUGAACUGGAAUUUAACAAUGCGGUGAAUUUGGCCAGGGAUCUGCAGAAAAGUAAAUUGCAUCUUGUUGGACAUUUGAGAGGCCUAGCUGGUGACAUUUGCUUACAGGCAUUAGAAAGCAAAGCUGCCAACAGAACAAUGAAAGGUGAGCAAGCAAAGUGUUUUGAUAAACAGAUGAGAUUCACCACCAAAUGUAGCACAAAAGGAUUAUCUAACCACAAAGACAUUUACAAAGGAUCAUAUAAAAUGAGUAUCUGUAUUUGCCAACCUCCCAUUGUGCAGAAGUCAAAAGGAAAAGAUGGAAAACGGGAGGCCAGAUUGUCAGGACUACCAAAUCCAGGUCAAACCUGUAUAGUUUACAGCAAAACCUGGAGCUAGAAGAACAGGUAGGAACAGGAAGCAUAGACUGAAACUAGCAAAGCUCAAGCCAGGCUGCAUAGCAAUUGUUUUACACAGAUAAUUUUAUUCCUCCUUUUAAGGAUGUUGUGUAAACAGGAAUAUUCAUUCAAGCAUAGUGCUAUACCAUAGCAUAACAUCACAACAAUGAACCUAGACACCCUCCAGGUUCCUGUGUUUCUCCACCUCCCACUCUUUAUCUCCUGUGGCCACAAGGAGGAGUCCAUAAAUACUCACUUCCAUUUCCAAUUAACCGCAAAAUGCCAUGUCAUCCAGAGCUGGUCAAACUGGCUAAUUUAACCAUUGUUAGUGGAAACAAGCCAGUUUCUAACAAUAGAUUAUGAAGUUGGUUGGUUUUCACUAACCAUAGUGAAUAUUAACUCCAAUUUAGGGAUCAGAUGACUUGCUAAACUGCUGUCAAUUUAAAAUUCCCUCCGUUACAGCCAUAUUGGGGGAGGAAGAGGAGAGUGCUCAUUUUUGCAAUGAUAAAGGUGAGUCUUCUGUCUGGUUUAGUCUUCUGUCCAAACAAUGUCCUUGAAAGGGAACUUCUGUGAACAAUCAGAAUAGGUUUUCAGAACCAAAGCUGGAGCAGGAGGUCUUCCAUGGACAAAAGGUACGUGAUUGUAGUCCUGAUUUCAGAAUGCAUCACUGUCACCUUGCUAAAGUAAUAUAUGGUGAGGUAAAAAGGCAUGCUGCCUCCCAGGGCCUUCAACUCUUAGCUUUCUUUAAAAUAGAAUAAAAAGUUCAAUCAGAAAAUUGUGAAGAAAGUAAAGAGCACAAAAUGUGGAAGCAGCUCAAAGACUUCAAUACUUGGCAGCCUGCAACAUUGCUAAGGAUGUUUAUUCACUGUUUCUAAGCAAUCAGAAAUGUUGACCACUCAGGAGAAGGCCCUCCCAGAACAGCAGAAAGAGGACAAGCUAGAUGGAAGAGGAUACUGGGGUGAGUUUGUUUAAGCAUUUUGCCCCUAUAUGCAUUAUUUCAUUCACUCAACAAGUGUGCUGCCUUUACAAAAUGAAACACAGUUGGCUGGCUUUAGUAUGUUUUAUUGAAAAGUAAUUCCUUGAAAUAAAUGAGACUUCAUCCCUGCUUAGAAAAAACGAUGCUAUUGCACACCUGCACACUCAGGUUUUCCAUGUCUCCCACCCAACCACUACUAGGCUGUUCACCAUCACUGGGCUGUUAUUUUAAUACUGUGUAGUUGCCAUAAACAAAAGUAUAAAAUCCAAAAUCCAAAUGCCUUAUAGCUGCAGCAAAUUAGAAUUCCAAUAGACUAGAACACAGAUAGCUUUUUUUGUUUAUUAAGGUUAGCAAAACAUAUUGUGUGCAUGCUUUGCUGAGACUUGUGACAUUGUACAUAAAUGUUAUUUUUUGUUGUAUAUUUGUAUCUUGAUAUUUCUCCCAUGAGCUCAAGGCUGUGUGCAUUGUCCUCCUCUUCCCACUUUUAUCUUGACAGCAGCCAUGUGAAAAUCCAGACACCAAAGUGGGUAGGGAGCCUUAAGAGCCUAAUUCACAAAACUCUUUGAAUCUGCACCUGUGCCUGCUGAGGAGGCUUGCUAACAAAAUAGGGGAAGGGACUCCCUGCUAUUGCUUGCUGGAAAGGGAUAAGGUUUGGAAGAGGUGCUCCUCCAUCACCUCUGUUGGUAGGGAAGCCUAUACCUCUACAGAGGUCCCUGCUGCACCCACAAGAACGUUUAGGGCCCCAAAUGGGAUGUUCUGCUAAAAAUCCGAGAGAAAUCACACCAACCACAAUGUUGUGCCCUUCUCAGCACAAACAAAAAGGGCUUGAGAUGUAGCAGUAGAUUCUGGAUCUUCACCGACUUGGGAUUCUUCUCUUAGUCUUCUUCUAAUAAAAACCAGAGAGUGAGUGUGAAAAGGAUAGACAGGUGGCAUGAAUAAUAGUCCAGGGAGAAAAUGUGGGUUAUCUAUGAAAAGACAUUCCGUAUCAUUUAAUUUGCUCCACUGAAAUUGACAAUUGAUUUGCCUGACCUUUUUCCCCCAAUUUCUCCAAAGUACAGAGAGAGUGAGAGAGAGGAGGAAAUUGGCAUCAAUGAAACUGACAAGACUUUCCCUUGACCUUGUCACCUUCCCAGCAGGAGGGGAUGACGGAAAUGGCAGUGGGGCAUGCAGUGCAGAAGAAAAGCGAGCGAGGCAUUGUUCAAGCUGUCUCCAACCACAGCAUGAUGGAAUUGCAUCCAUGGCCGCUGAGGCAGUAUCCGAGGUGGGUAAGUCAUGAAUGCUUUCUCCCACAUAGCUAGAGGGGUGGUUGUAGCAGUGAACGCAAGAAGAACUCAUGAGCUGCAAUUACCUGAAGUGGAGGGAGAACAUUUGAGCGCUCAUUGAAGUGAAUGAAAAUCUGUGUGUAACUUCUACCUAAGUCGGCUGCUUUGGUUUCAGGGCCCUCACUAAACAACAGCUCCAAAGCUGCUAGAAGUUGUGCAGAGUUCUCCGGAAUUGCAUGUGAUCAGCAGAUGGCACUCUAACUACACUAAACCUAAAGCUUCCUUUGUCGUAGCUGUUGUCAGCUAGGUCAAAUUGCAUGUUGCCUAAGUAUGGUGCAUCUAGGUUGUACAGGGAAGAAUAUUAUCCUUUCCAAUAGAUUUAGGAGAAGAGCAAACGGUUCCACCUAGACAGGUUUGGAUGACACACGCUUCAUAAUAAUAAUAAUAAUAAUAAUAAUAAUAAUAAUAAAUAUUAUUUAUACCCCACCCAACCCAUCUGGCUGGGUUUACCCAGCCACUCUGGGCGGCUUCCAACAAAAUUUUAAAAUAGAAUAGUAUAGAAAGAAAAGACAGAGUAGCUCUUUGUGAGCCCUCUAGAAACACCUGUAACUAGGUGAAGCAGAGUCAAUCGAAACAUCACUCUUUUUGGCAUAGGUGAGCAGUGGUUUUUCCAUCCCUGAUAAAUCAGCUUUCAUUCAUAUACCCUUAAACUGCUUUUUUUCUAAAAAAAAUUCUUUAGGGGUACUCUUAUUUUGACUCAAGAAAAUCACCAUUUUAUAGUUCAAAUCGGGAAAAAUACAGUAAAUGGACAAAAGUACAAAGAUUCACAAAAUGUUUAGGAGUAUCCAUACCUUUACCUUACCUUAUCCCAUUUCCAAAAUCCAGUAACAAGCAGAUCUGUUUAACUUUGCCAUAUGUACAUGAUCUCAUAUGAGGGCCAAUCUAUGCAGUAAGGAAGCUUUCCUAGGACUUUACCCCUUCAGGCUGCUGAGUGUUGGUGGGUGCAUUUUAAUGCUACUAGCAUUAGCAAAUAUAAAACGGACCUAUCUUGGAGAAAACAAGAAUGAACCCUUGACAUGCUACAUGUCUAUGGAGAGCAGGAGUGGAGAACAUUCACUGGCCGAUGGCUCAAACCCUUAUCCCCCACACCCCAGUAGACCAAAUUUGACAAGUGGGUGGGAAAGCACAGCACAGUGCUCUUUGAUAACCCUUUUGCAAACAGCUCCACACACCUGAACCUCCAUGCCUGUUCCCAAGCAGGGGAACUGGGGCAUAUAGCCAAAGUGAGCUGGAUUUGACCAGCACUCAGCUGGUGAGUAGGGGUUAAAUUCUGCUGCUUUGGCUGCACAUACCACAUGCUACUCUCAACUGCUAAUGGUGAGUCACACCACCCUCAAGAAACUAUGGAAGAAUUUAUCUUCCCCUGUGAGAAAGUUAGUGAAAUUCUGCCUGCCCCCCAAUUUGUCUUCCCACAAAUAGGGUAUAGUUUUUAGAGGCCACUUAACUACCACAGAGCCUAGGACUUGCCGAUCAGAAGGUCGGCAGUUCGAAUGCCCGCGACGGGGUGAGCUCCCGUUGCUCGGUCCCUGCUCCUGCCAACCUAGCAGUUCGAAAGCACAUCAAAGUGAAAGUAGAUAAAUAGGUACCACUCCGGCGGGAAGGUAAACGGCGUUUCCGUGCGCUUCUCUGGUUCGCCAGAAGCGGUUUAGUCAUGCUGGCCACAUGACCCGGAAGCUGUACGCCGGCUCCCUCGGCCAAUAAAGCCAGAUGAGUGCCGCAACCCCAGAGUCGGUCAUGACUGGACCUAAUGGUCAGGGGUCCCUUUACCUUUUCCUUUAACUACAGCUUUCUAAGAUUCAGUUGUUUUGAGUUGGUCAGUUUGUUGGCCUGGCCACUUUCAUUGGCUUCAGCAACUUCCACGGUGAAAUGGGAAGAUAAGGUCUUCUUCUUCUUCUUUCUUCUUCUUUGGCGAUCACUCGUAGCCAAGUAAGAUUGUCUUCCAUAAACACGGUUUUAACAAUGUGCGGCUUUCUCCUGAUUGAAGUGCAGAGUGUUUGGAUAUUCACAGGGAAACCAAAAUGCUUGUUUACAAAGCUAUUGUACUACCAACCUUACUAUAUGCUUGUGAAACAUGGACCACUUAUAAAUGCCAUCUCCAACUCCUCAAAGAUAAGGUAUAUCAGUUUGUAUCCAAAGAAGUUGCCCCAUACUCAUGCAAGGAUUGCCACUUACGCAGCAGAAUGUCCACUUCUUUGCCUGCACACACACAUCCCAAAUUUGUCCUUGAAAUUACUCCAACCAUCUGGAGCAGAUUCGGAGGAGGUAGAGUUCAGGAAGAGGAAGAGCAAGAGUCCUUGCGCAAAUGGAAGAGCUUUGUCAGAUAACAACACAUUGGUUUUCUUAAGUAAGCUCAUCUUCCCCUGGUAUUGGUUCAGCAAGCCUGGAGCUUUCUGGAUACUUCCAGGAACUUACCAUGCAUUUCUGCUUCAUGUUGUUCCACCAUCCAAGAGAUGCCUCUCUCUACCUUUGUGAGACUUAUUCAAGAAGAGGGAGGGGGAAGGUUGUGCCCUUUGAGAAGUGUGGGAUUUACUGCUGCGUUUCAAAGGAAUUAGAACAGAGCAGCAAUAUUGUAAACAAGCACAAUGAAAGCUGGAGAGGUCACUGCUGCAUCUUUGGAAAUUAACGAGGGUUGUGAUUAAUUCUAGCAACUGGGGCCCUAGGAAUUAUGAGGACAGGCACAACAAAGAUGCAGUAAGUAGAUUAUCUGAAAAGCCUUUUUUUCUCAGUUCCCCUUGUUUAUUUAAAUUAGAAAUUUUAAGCUAGCAUCUUAAACGUGGCCUAGCCUUUUAUUAUUAUUUGGGGGCAGGGGAGGGUAAAGAAGUAUAUUUCAAAAUGGAGUGAUGCUGCAAGUCAAACAAUGGGCAUUCAGAAGACUUUAACAGUAUGGAUUUUGAAAUUUGACCUUUUACAUUGGGGAGGACAGAAGGGAAUGGUUCACUAGCGUAUCCCAAUUGGUCAGAUGUUUCCCAAGCUGAUUCCAAGCUAGCAGCACAAAUUAUCUUGGCUCAGAUUUGCCUUUCCCUCUUGAUUUAACAUUUUUUUUAAAAAAGGUUCUUCUUUCUCAUUCCGAUCAUUUGGAAUCACUAUUGUGAUUUUAAAUAUUGUAAUGGCAUACCAUUUGCAUAUUUGAUUCUCAGGUUUUAUAAAUAAAUAAAUAUCAAAGUUUACUUUCCCCUGUGAGAUUUGUCAUUUAAUGUGGCUAAUAAUUCAGUCUUGAAUCAAGGUAGACAAAAGACAACCAAUUCCAUUUUUAAUUAGGGAUCCAGAGUUGGGAUAUAAAGUCACAUGAUUUACCAGUACCUUUGUGUAUGUUGUUAUUAGUCUUACUGCUAUUUAUAUUGUUCGGUAGGAUUUUCCACAUGUGCGAAGAAUCAAUAGCCUUUUCUACAUCUUACUACUGCUCAUUCUUCUGGGCUAGAUGCCAAUAUUGCUUUCGCUAGCUAGGGAGGUAAUUUUGGUAGGUGGGUGGCGGUUGAGGGCUGGUUACAGGAACAGCAGUUAUGAAGUGGUAGAAGGGAUUGUGACUCCUGCCUCGCACAACCUCUUUUUUUCAUUCUUCUCUGCAUAUAACCAUUACCAGUAAUUGGAGGGUGGGGGGCAACUAAAAAUAAAACUCCUGCUGCAAAAGAGUGAACUUUGUGUGGGAAAGAGCAAGUGCUUUUUUGCAAAGCAGAAAAAAAAUUAAAAUUCAUACAGGAGGAAAAGAGCAAGCAAACUGAUUCUCACAGACCUGGUCUUCUGUUCUCACAUCACAACUAUCCUUCUGCUACACAACAUGCCACCACCCUCCCCCACUGGCUGUUCAAGAUGGCUGAGUCAUCCCAAGAUAUUCGUGCUGCACCUGGGAUGGGUAAAAAGUAGAUGGGGUCUGUUUGGUACACUGCCGUGUAAUUUACAGUAGCUCAGCCAGGGUUUCGGAGUCCCAAUAGCAGCAGGAAAAAGCCUUCAUCCCACACACACACACCCCACACAAAAAUGGGAACACUAAUUCAGAUAUGGAUUCCUUUAAACUUGUAUCGCAAAGCCUGUGUAUGGUUCGUGAAGUAUGGUCCAUGCUUUUUUCUGGGGGUACUCAGGGGUAUGCAGUACCAGCACCUUUUUUUCCUAGAAGAAAAGCACUGAGUAUGAUAGAUACAUCCAGUGCUUUUUUUUCUGGGGCGACGCAGGGGGACGCAUACCCCUAAACAUUUUGUGAAUUUUUGUACUUUUGUCCAUUUACUGUAUUUAUUUUUCCUGAUUUGAACUAUAAAAUGGUGGUUUUCUUGAGUCAAAAUGAGAGUACCCCUAAACAUUUUUUUAUAAAAAAUAACACUGGAUACAUCAGUUCCACUCCCUGAGCCACCCACUUGCUGGCUUUAUCAAACACUGAACCAGUAAUUUGCACCUGGCUCUGGUUGGUGGACCUCAGGUUUGUAGUAAUGACAACACCCCAAACAGAUCCUGCAAGAUCGCAGUGGAACCAGCUUCCCUCAGCUUAAUGGGGGAUGAUGGGGUGGUGGGCAGGGGUGGGGAAACCAAAAAGCUCAUGGCAUGUCAGGUGAAGGCAUCCCCAUCCAGUCUCACACCCCAAAAGUGACUAUUUUGCGAGGUCUGCAGUAGAACUACUGGUUUAUGUCUAAGAUACCCUACCAAUCAGAGUGGAGUUCGACUUCCCCAAACCCCUACAUUAGCAGUGCUGCUGCCCUGAUAGCCAGCCCCACCCACCAGCCCUUCUUGGGCAUCAGCAUUUCCCAACUCAACUGCCCAGUAUCUAAGCCCUGACCCUGCGUGCAUCCAAAAUCCUCUCAUUUCCCAAAUCAGCUUGGCUAUUCAUCUCCUUCCAACUACACUAAUCAUACCCUGCCAUCCACGUUUCCUUCUCUACUGGUCAUACUACCCACCGUCCCAUCCCCUUCCUGCAAACACGGCCACAGUGGAAGGUCCAAAUUCUGCUCUGCUUCGCCCCAACAGACUUCAAUCCGCCCUCCUAAACUUUCUGUACUCCUCCGUGGCAUUUCCACAGCUGCUUUAUAGGGAGAGGCUGAGGUAUGUGGCACCAACCAUUGCUCUGUAACCCUUUUUGCUUGGCUAACUGCCCUCACUUCCUAGUCCUGAAAAUGGUGUAAAUACUUCUGUGGGUUGAAGCAGGAAAUCCACAUGCUGCAUCGCAGACCCUCCAAGUGACCCUGUUUUCCAGGGACGUCCCUGAUUUAGAGAAGCCGUCCCGGUUUCUGAUUUGAUCCCGGAAUGCCCUGCUUUUCCUUAGGAUGUCCUUAUAUUCACUGGAUAAAUGUUGGAGAGUAUGGAGAUAUCCGACCCCUGAGCCAUCUGAAGGCAAUCCUGUAAAGGGAAGUUUUUUAAUGUUUAAUGUUUUAUAUGUGGCUGCCUAGAGUGACUGGGGCAACCUAGUAAGAUGUGUGGGGUAUAAAUAGUAAAAUUAUCAUUAUGGCAAAGGAUGUCCCUAUUUUCAUCGGAGAAAUGUUUGGAGGGUAUGGCAUUGGGGACUCCAAGGAGCCUGAUACAGUACGUCUCCUGGGCCUUCCAUUUAACAGCCCUGAAGCCUAUUAACUCUUAAAUAUUAAGAGAAGCCAGCCAGCAGAUGGCAGCAGGACACAUUACAUUGGUAGCUUCAGAACACAACCUUUGCAGUAGGGGACACCAUACUAAGGGCCACUUCACAAAUUAAUUUCUCUCUUGCAUAAUGAUGUUGUUAUAUCUUGUUCUGUAUUUUUAAAGGAGGGCAGCUUUUGCAAAAUGUGCUGAAUCUGAAGAAAUAAAAACAGCAACUUGAAAGCACAGCUCAGCACCAUUCCCAGUGUUUGGGAGUGGGGCAGGAAACAUCUAAGCGCAGGACUUACUCCUUCAUUCAUUUAGGCUGAGAGAGACAGCGAUUUGCCCAGGAACAGCCAAUGAGUUUCUUGGCUGAUAGGGGAUCUGAACCCUGGCUUCCAGGCCCUUGUCCAACACUCCACCCACUGCAAUAAACUGCUUGCACCUCCCACCAUCCCUGAUCAUUGGGCAUGCAGGCUGGGGCUGAUGGUGGAGUCCAAUAACUUCUGGAGGUCCACCCUUAAUCUAAAAGGCAAAUGGAAGUAGGAGGCAUGUGAAGUAGAAGUUUGUAAGAUACAGAGACCUCACACCAGUUGCUGAUACUUCCAAAAUGAUGAAAAAUAGUGGGACCUGCAAGGCAGCUUGUUUUUUAAAUGUUAUAUAUGGUGCCUAGUAAUAUUAGAAAUAAAGGAAUGAGGAAAAGAGCCAGCAAGAAGAAAAGAUACAGCAGUGUUGCUUGUAUAGAGUAUGAAAAAACCUGAAACUCAGAAUGAACAGAACCACAUAAAAAUGGGGAUUGUUAUUUUUUUAAAAAAAGAAACUUUCUAGCACAGAGAAAAUCAGUGCUAUUUUAGAAAGUACUCUAAAACCUGAAAAAGAUACAAUGCAUGUACUUUUGUAAAUCUAGAAAAUCUUUAAUAAAAGUUGGGGGGGGUUGGUGUGUUUUUUUAAAGAGGAACUCACCAUGAAAGCCUCCCUGGUUCUCUUACAGUGGCAAUGGCACCCACCUGAAAGGUGCUGGAACAAGAGUUUCGGUGAGUUCCAGGUGAAAAAAGCCCUGGAGAUAUUGUUCUGCCUGCUGCUGAAGUUUCCCAACCCGGGGGCCAGGAUACUCCAAGGGGGCCACAGGUGAAAAUCGCAUAAAUGGGGGGCCACAGAGGGAAGUGAGAAGUGAAGAAAGCAGAGAAGUGACCGAGAAAAUAAAACAGAAAAUGGAGAAGAAUGAACAGAGGAGUGACCGUGAUUCCCAGGGGAUGGAUCGCCACAUAUUCUCUGCAGCAACUUCACUUCCGCUUCUUUCUGCAUUCCACCACUGCGUGCACCAAGCUGUCCGCAUCUCAUUUGUCACGGGCAAGGUGUGUGGCUGCAGCAGUGUUGGUGUGUGGGGUGCUGUUUCUUCGUGCAAGUAUUUCUGCUAAAGGAGGUGUGUUGCUGCUUGCAAGAGUUACUCACCCUAACACAGAAUUGCCUUAAGAUAAUGGACAGAGGUGAUAUUCAGUGAUCCCUCACAGCAAUAGAACCGGAUAUAAAAAAACUUGUUUCUGGUCAUCAAGCAUGAGGGUCACAUUGAUCGAGA